UACGUAGGGUGCAAGCGUUAAUCGGAAUUACUGGGCGUAAAGCGUGCGCAGGCGGUUUUGUAAGACAGAGGUGAAAUCCCCGGGCUCAACCUGGGAACUGCAUUUGUGACUGCAUAGCUGGAGUGCGGCAGAGGGGGAUGGAAUUCCGCGUGUAGCAGUGAAAUGCGUAGAUAUGCGGAGGAACACCGAUGGCGAAGGCAAUCCCCUGGGCCUGCACUGACGCUCAUGCACGAAAGCGUGGGGAGCAAACAGG
rnacentral:rRNA from 1 species